rnacentral:sRNA from 1 species
AAAAAAAAACGAAAAAAGGAAAA